UACGUAGGGUGCAAGCGUUGUUCGGAAUUAUUGGGCGUAAAGCGCGUGUAGGCGGCCUUGCAAGUCGGGUGUGAAAGCCCUCAGCUCAACUGAGGAAGCGCGCCCGAAACUGCAGAGCUUGAGUACCGGAGAGGAUGGCGGAAUUCCCCAAGUAGAGGUGAAAUUCGUAGAUAUGGGGAGGAACACCGGUGGCGAAGGCGGCCAUCUGGACGGAUACUGACGCUGAGACGCGAAAGCGUGGGGAGCAAACAGG
rnacentral:rRNA from 1 species